CUUGGUCAUUUAGAGGAAGUAAAAGUCGUAACAAGGUU
rnacentral:rRNA from 1 species